rnacentral:lncRNA from 1 species
UUACAGUUAAAAAGAAUGGAAAGAUGUAUACUAGUCUGAUAGAUAAUACGAGGACCUCUGGUUUUUCAAAACUGUUGGAUCAACAAGUUAUUAUAAACAGAUAAAUUGAAAUGGUUUGCUUGUCGAUUAACUUGAAGAAACCGGGUUUUAAACAAGAAAGUUGUGUGUCUUUUUGAUGGAUUAUUUACAUACCCGCUAUUUUGUACUUGGAAAGCGCACCGAAAGGUAAAUAUUAUCAUGCAAAUAUUUAAGAAGAUGCUAGUGGUAUACUUUUCACGAAAAAACAUUUGAAUUUAUAAAUUUCAUCGCAUGCAAACCCGAAAAUCAGUCUGACAAAGAUCAGAAGAUUGGCAAGAACGGACGCAAGUCAACUCGACCCACUGCCAAAACGGCCUACUUUUUUAAACAACACGUCUCCCUUUCUAAAAAUGUCCCACUCUUGUUAAGGGAGCUACCAUGUGAGUUUUAUUGGAGGUGGGGGGGUCACCAUGUCACAGGCACUUGUCUCAGAAAAAAAAUUCCCUAUAUACCUUAAUAUAAUACAUAUUUAAUACAUAUAUAUAGGAUUUUUUUUUCUGAGACAAGUGCCUGUGUGGGGGGUGCUUGGAUGUUAUUUGAAAAAUAUGCGGAACUGGAGUUCUGUCAACUUUAAAAAAAAAAUGCAGGAUAACAUUUUUAUCGUAGCCCCCACCCCAUAAAAGUCAAGUGGUGGCUUCCUUACCAACUCGUCCUGCUUUAAAAAAAAAUUGCCCUACUUUAUAUAAAAAUGGUUAAAAUCUGUAAAAUAUACUCCUGCAAAGAAUGGCCUUGCCCAACUUGCAUGACUUGGGUAAAAUCCAAAUGAAUAUAAUUAAUAUUUAAUUUAUAUAAAAAAUAAAAGUCUGCAAAUUUGCCCUUAUUUACAUAAAUUUGUACUUAUCUAGACUACCUAGUUCAAAUAAUUAUGACUUCUUGAAAGGCUAUUACAUUUUUUUUAUUUGACGCCUUACUGUACAUUAGAGUAAAGCGUCCAAAAAAUAAUAUUAUAAUAGCCUUUCAAGACGUCAUAAUAAUUUGGACUACUAGACUACCCAGAAAUUAGAAAACACUGAUAUAAAAAUUUAAUUAAUAUACAUAAAAUUGAUAAUGGAAAUGGGGAAUGUGUCAAAGAGACAACAACCCGACCAUAAAGCAGACAACAGCAGAAGGUCACCAACAUGUCUUCAAUGCAGCAAGAAAUUCCGGAGGCGUCCAUCAGCUGGCCCCUAAACAAAUAUAUAUACUAGUUCAGUGAUAAUGAACGCCAUACUAAACAUGCUAAACUCCAAAUUGUACACAAGAAACUAAAAUUAAAAAUAGUACAAGACUAACAAAGGCCAGAGGCUCCUGACUUGGGACAGGCGCAAAAUUCAGACGGGGUUAAACAUGUUUAUGAGAUCUCUAACCUCCCCCUAUACAUGUACCUCUAGCCAAUGCAGAUGUAUGAUAUCUAUUGAUUUAAAUUGAUGUGUCAUUUCUGAAACCAUGAUUGUGGAUUCAUAUUUAUUAUUAAAUUAUUAUGUACAUGUAAUUUAUGUAUUUAUUUAGUGUAUCAUAAUCUAUUUGAACUUUUUUUUAGCUGUCUCAAAAUCAAGCUGUUUGGGCCUCCUCUUGUACAUGGGAAGUGGACUCCUUGAGAAGGUGAAAGGUCUGCUUUACAUGUACAUAAUGUUAAUAUAAAAAUACAAAAAAUGUGGUGAUCAUGGUGAUAGUGAAUGAGAAAAUAGAGGAAUUUUUAAAAGUGUAAAUUCACUUUUUUCCACUUAUAAAUCUGUCAUAUUGUAAUUUAUAUGAUAAUAAUGUUUAAAUUACAUAAUUAUUUCAAAUUAUUGUUUAGGGGGGGGGGGCUAGGAGAAAAAUUGUCCUGCUUUUCAACAAUUUGCCUUUACAUUUUCACUCUAUGAGCAAAGCCAAUACUGCAUAUUCAGUUUUUAAGACCCUAAUGAGAAUCACAAAUUUGUAAAUCUAUUCAAACAAGAAAACUAAGAGACUGAUUUAUACAAUGUAAAAUAUAAAAAACAGAACAAAAAAAAAAUAAGAUAACAGCAAUAUAAGACAAAUCGAACCACUAAAUUACUUAUUUAGUUAGAAAUAUGUGUCGGAUGACCCCUCUUGCUAACUAACAUGCCAACAUGACUAAAAAUAGAACAUAGGGGUAAAAGGCAGUUUUUAUACGACUGCAAAAAUUUUAAUUUUUCGUCGUAUAUUGCUACAUUGUAUCACGUUGGCGUCGUGCGGCGUCGUUGUCGUCCAAAUACUUUUAGUUUUCGCACUCUAACUUUAGUAAAAGUGAAUAGAAUUCUAUGAAAUUUUAACACAAGGUUUAUGACCACAAAAGGAAGGUUGGGAUUGAUUUUGGGAGUUUUGGUCCCAACAUUUUAGGAAUUAGGGGCCAAAAAGGGCCCAAAUAAGCAUUUUCUUGGUUUUCGCACUAUAACUUUAGUUUAAGUGAAUAGAAAUCUAUGAAAUCUUGACACAAGGUUUAUGACCACUAAAGGUAGGUUGGGAUUGAUUUUGGGAGUUUUAGUUUAAACAGUUUAGGAAUUAGGGGCCAAAAAAGGGCCCAAAUAAGCAUUAUUCUUGGUUUUCGCACAAUAACUUUAGUAUUAGUAAAUAGAAAUCAAUGAAAUUUUGACACAAGGUGUAUGACCACAAAAGGAAGGUUGGGAUUGAUUUUGGGAGUUGAGGUCUGAACAGUUCAGGAAUUAGGGGCCAAAAAGGCGCCCAAGUAAGCAAUUCUUGGUUUUUGCACCAUAACUUUAGUAUAAGUAAAUAGAAAUCUAUGAAAUUUAAACACAAGGUUCAUGACCACUAAAGGAAGGUUGGGUUUGAUUUUGGGAGUUUUGUCCCAACAGUUUAGGAAUAAGGGGCCCAAAGGGUCCAAAAUUGAACUUUGUUUGAUUUCAUCAAAAAUUGAAAAAUUGGGGUUCUUUGAUAUGCCGAAUCUUACUGUGUAUGUAGAUUCUUAAUUUUUUGGUCCCUUUUCAAAUUGGUCUACAUUAAGAUCCAAAGGGUCCAAAAUUAAACUUAGUUUGAUUUUAACAAAAAUUGAAUCCUUGGGGUUCUUUGAUAUGCUGAAUCUAGAAAUGUACUUAGAUUUUUGAUUAUUGGCCCAGUUUUCAAGUUGGUCCAAAUCGGGGUUCAGAAUUAAACUUUGUUUGAUUUCAUCAAAAAUUGAAUAAUUGGGGUUCUUUGAUAUGCCAAAUCUAACUGUGUAUGUAGAUUUCUUAAUUUUUAGUCCUGUUUUCAAAUUGGUCUACAUUAAAGCCAAAGGGUCCAAAAUUAAACUAAGUUUGAUUUUAACAAAAAUUGAAUCCUUGGGGUUCUUUGAUAUGCUGAAUCUAAAAAUGUACUUAGAUUUUUAUGCAGUUAAGCUGCAUUAUGUGAGCACCCUAGAUUCGUGUUCUACCCAAUAAAUCCUGAAAUACUUGCCAUUGUUAUUAUCUAGCUUGCUACUAUGUUAUAUAUAACUAAUUGGACACUUUUUUAAUACUUUUUAUUCUGGAUAAAAAAAAAAAUGACCAGAAAAACCUUAAAUGAUCGUCGAUUUAUCCAAAAGUUUUAAAGUUACACAUAGGAAGUAGUGCUUAUUAAGAAUCCUUGUGUAGUUCAUUAUGACUUGUGCUUUUAGCUAAGAUGUCAAAGAACAAUUGUAUGAAAUAUUUAAUCGCCGAAAAUCUCUUAAGACAAGUAGUUUAGAUUUCCCAAAUGACAAAAGUCGUAGGAAUAUUGUUUGUCAUCAAUACGUAGUACAACUACAUCAGUAGUCUAUUAUAUAAUAAGUGCAACUGUUCAUGCUGUUGGCGGCAAUUUCAAAUUAGAAAAAGAAACUUUCGUAGCUUUUCAAUUUGGAGGCAGGUGUGAUAUAAGCGGUGGUCCGAGGUCCGCGACCUUCCACUUUUGCAAGCGGAAUUUCGACUAGGAUAGUUGGUUUCUAGCUACGCCCGACGUAGUCACCUUACAUUUGAAAGAAAAUAAGAAAUUACUUUUCAAACCUUUUCACAAUGUUCACCAAAGUCUCCAAUUAAACGAGCUAAAAACUUAUUUUUAUUAUUAUUAUUCAUGACGGCGAUGUUCAUUUUGUUCAACCGCUAGCUUUAGAUACAGAAAAUCGCCGACAAAUAUUGUAUAAAUUCGAGUAAAAUCGUAUAAUGUAUUGUGCAAUAGCAAGAAAUUUUCAAUUGCACAGUAUUCAGCAAUAGCAAGAAAUCUUCAAUUGCACAGUAUUGUGCAAUAGCAAGAAAUUUUCAAUUGCUCAGUAUUGCGCAAUAGCAAGAAAUCUUCAAUUGCACAGUAUUGUGCAAUAGCAAAUAUUUUCAAUUGCACAGUAUAGCGCAAUAACAAGAAAUAUCUAAUUGCACAAUAUUGCGCAAUAGCAAGAAAUAUCUAAUUGCACAAUAUUGUGCAAUAGCAAGAAAUUUUCAAUUGAUUGGAGUUAUCUUUCUUUGUCCAGAAUAGUAGUUAAAUCAACUUAAAUCAUUGUUUUAUAAUACAAUAGACAAUGUAUAUUCACUUUUACUACCAACUGAUAAAUUAAAACAAUCUUUACCAUUCAGUGAUAACAAGCACCUUUUGUUAUAUUUUAUGAUGUAUUUAAAUGAGUAGUUAUUGUUGCAAACUCCAUAAGAAAUUUGAAUUGAGAUCAGUUUUGGAAAAAGGGAAAGGGGGAUGUGAAAAAAAAUGAGGGGGGUAAAUUUUUCUCAUUUCAGAUUUCAUAAAUAAAAAGAAAAUUUCUUCAAACAUUUUUUUGAGAGGAUUAAUAUUCAACAGCAUAGUGAAUUGCUCAAAGGCAAACAAAAUAUUUUAAGUUCAUUAAACCACAUUCAUUCUGUGUCCUAAACCUAUGCUGUGUCAACUAUUUAAUCACAAUCCAAAUUUAGAGCUGAAUCCAGCUUGAAUGUUGUGUCCAUACUUGCCCCAACCGUUCAGAGUUCAACCUCUGCGGUCGUAUAAAGCUGCGCCCUGCGGAUCAUCUGGUUGGCUAAUACAUUUAUCUCUGAAAGCAGAAACUAAAGCAUUCAGAUCAAAUUUGACCUGGGGUUAAAAUGUUUACCAGGUUAAGAAGAGCUAUCCUUUUUUUUCAGGGAAAGUUUGUUGGUUUAGUUUAAAAGAUCAAAACUAAGCCAAUUUUGCAAGAUCAAAUAUUAAAUGCAAUUUUGGCAGAUAUUAUAACUUCAUUUCAUUAAACAUUAUUUCUUUUAGCAUUUUCAAUGAAUGUACAAGUACAAGUACUUUGAGAAGUAGGAGAAGCUAAGCAACAGAACAGAAUUCAUUUGGGUCAUUGCUGUCUAGAUUAUAUAGUGGAUUCAUAGAUUGUCAUUGAUAUUGUUUAUGUGCAUAUGAGCACAGAGGAGCAGUAGUCAAUGAAUAAUUUUGUGAUGAGAGGUAUGUUUAUAUUAAAAUGAUGCCUAGUUUAUUUGAUAAUUUUGCUCUCUUGUCAAACUCGGUAAAUCAUGUACAUGUAGUUUCCAAGAUUUAUUUUAAAAUUUGAGGUCAUAGAGUUCCAAGUUUUGAUUCUUGUUGUGGGCAAGUUUGAAAAUUAUCCAUGUUAACAGUUAGAAGUGACAAAUUAUUUUUUUUACAAAACCAUAAACAAUUUGUAGUCCAGUCUAACUAAGAUUUAACCCUUUCCUCCAUGGAAUUUUUUUUUUACAUACUUGAUUCGCAUAGGAUUUUUUCAAUAAAAAAAAAAUCAUCAGGUUUAAAGUAUGAAUCAUGUUAAUGCAUUGUAGAACGAACAUUUCAUCAAUGAAAUUCAAGUCAGAUAUUCUCAUGAAUAUCCUUUUCAUAUUGGAUACAAUUUUUUUUAAGUCUUUUUUAAUAUGCAGACAUUUUGUAGUCAAUGCAUUUCAACUUAUGUACUACACAGGCGUCAAAAGGCGUCAUUAUGGAGUAAAGGGGAUGGGGUCAAAAAGCAUCAUUAUGGAGGAAACGGUUAACCUCAAACUAAUUAAAACAGAAAAUGUUUUAGUUCAAAUCUAUAGCGUUAUGCCCUUUAUAUACACAGAAAAAAGUCCCAUAAAAUCUAACUUGAGGAAAACUCAAAAGUGGCAUUUUAUAUUUCCUUUGGAAAUUAACAUUGGAAGGGGAGAUAACUCCGCAAAAAAUGAGUCCUUUUUUGGUCAGUUUUUGGUUGAUUUUCUUGAAAUUUAUGUAAAGGCUUAAGCACGAUACUUUUAUGGAGUUAUAAGUUUGUAUUUGACUAAAUAAUAUAAUCUCCUGCUCAUGAAAUGUACAAAACCGAAGUGUUACAGGUAGUUUUUUUUGUUUGUGCAUUUUUCAUUAAAGAAAUUGCAAAUUUGAAGCUUUGAGACCAUUUUGAAAAAAUAAUGUGAAAAUUUGGUAUUGUUUAUAUCUGUAUAUUAUAUUCUUUCAGCAUCUUACUUGUCUAAAGAAACUUUAAACCACAAAAUGAAGAACACAUGCUUAAUUAUUUUUAUCAAAUUUGAGAUUCUUUACCUUGAUUACGAUUUUCAAACAUGGAAUAAUAUGAUCACUGUGGGUAUUAUUUGUACAAAAAAUUAUAGUACAAAACAAGUACAUGAACUGUACAAUACAUGUACCGUACCUAAAUGUUACAAUAAUUUUUUAAGUAAAGAAAGUUAUGAUACUAAAUAUCAAAAGUAAAUGUCCAGUACUACAGAUUUUAAGUACAGAAACAUUACCUAUGCAAAAGUAGCAGUUUAUAUGAAUUCAAGAAUUGAAUCUACAUGUAUAUUCAAUUAAAGAUUUCUUGCUGUUGUGCAAUACACUGGGCUGUUGCGCAAUAAUUGGUUAAUCUGUUGUCAGACUGCAAACAAACAAUAAUUUCUCAAUGUCACAUGUAUAUCAGAAAUAUUAUAAAAAGAAAACUAAAAGGAGGUUUUCUUAAUAGCUAUAAAUCAGUCAUCAAAGUUUAACGAAAUUUUAAGGAUACAUUUAUUUCCAAAAACUUGAAAGUCACCCCUUUUCUUAUGACAUGUACAAUGUAUGAAGAAAAUCUUAUAACUCAGAAACUGACAAACUUAAAUUUAUAAAAAUCAAAUGGGAGCUUACAACAAAAUAUAUGAACAAUUUAACUAAGUUUCAGGAUAUUCAGCAUUUUUAUGUCCCACUCAAUGAAGUUUUGGGGGGUAUAAAUAUAAUGUUUUUGACCUGUCUGUCUGACGUCAAGUCCUGUUUCUUGUCAUCACAACUGUUCUCAAACAACACAACAGAAUUUCAUGAAAUCUUUUUAGAUAAUAAAGACAUACAAUGUAGAUGUGCAUAUCGACAGGAAAUUAAGAUUCAAUUUUUUUUCUAGGAAUUAAGCCCCUUUGAACUUAUUUGCUUUAAUGUACUACUUCAACAGUUUGUUAUUGUAACUCCCCUGAAUCCACACAACAGAAUUUCAUGAAACUUUGUAGAUAAUAAGGACAUACUAUGUAGAUGUGCAUAUUGACAGGAAAUUAUGAUUCAAUUGAAGUUUAUCAAUUGCCAAGGUACAUUGAAAGGUUGUUCUUUUAUUAAAAUCUGCACAUAUAUAGGAUUUUUUUAUAAGCUUAAACUUGAUCUUCUUUCUGUUGUUAGCUUACAUUUUGUUUCAAUUUACUUAAAAGUAAAAGUAUAUAGGAAAGGUAUAAAUUAGUGAUCGGUUCAUACUACAUGUAGUUUUUGUCUGGACUUCUUGAUUAAUUUAUAUAUAUAUAUACAAUUUUAGCUUGUUACCAAAUGAAAGGAAAGGACAUUAUUGGCAAGGAUUGAUAUUACUGGUGAACAUGUAUGUCAUGUAGGUGUGAAUGCCCUGCAAAACAGACCUGAUAUCAAAGUAAGUUCAUCUGUAGAAUUGCAGUUAAUUUAAAUAAUUUUAUGUUAUCUACCUAAAACUGUUUCAAGUUUAAUUGUACAUGUACACUGUUGCUUAUUUUUUUCACUUUCUGAUUCAAUGCAUGCAUUAAGCCUUACUCUGCUCGCCUCCUUCUGCUCCAUACACACACACUUGAGAUGUCAGAAAUUCAGACUAUCAUAGCAUUUACAUUACAAACUUACCUAGUCAGACUGGCCUAUAUUAUGUAUUGAUAAGUUAACGUUGUUAUCAUUUAGAAAAUAUAAAAUAUUUGCCACUGGACAUUCAAAUAAGCAAAAAAAAAACGACCAGUUAAUGAUUUUGCAUUAACAGAAUGAAUUUGCAAACAUAUAGCAAUUAGCUUAUGUAAUUCAUGGAAGUUAGAUUUAUAUUCUUUAUGAAUAUUUUAUUUCAGUUACCAUCACAGUGAACAUGGUGAAGAAUAACCAAUACCAUGAAUACAGGACAUAGAAGACUACCUCACAAACUUGGGAAUUUUACAAAAA